CUUUACGGAGCUUGAAGGUUAAGCAGUUCAUUUACAUUGAAAAAAUCUUGUUCGAAGCAGGUGUAGAGA
rnacentral:tRNA from 1 species